UUCCGGUUGAUCCCGCCGGACCCGACUGCUAUUUGGGUGAGAAUAAGCCAUGCGAGUUGAAUGGGAUACCUAAAGUUCCCAUAGCAAACUGCUCAGUAACACAUGAUCAACUUACCCUAUAGAGAAAAAUAACCUCGGGAAACUGAGGAUAAUGUUUCAUAAUUGAAUUGGCUUGGAAAAGUUUUUCAAUGAAAGGGAUAAAAAAAAUGGUUUUUAUCUGCUAUAGGAUAGGAUCGUGUUCGAUUAUGGUUGUUGGUGAGAUAAUGGCUCACCAAGCCGAUAAUCGAUAGGGGCCGUGAGAGCGGGAGCCCCGAGAUGGGUACUGAGACAACGACCCAGGCCUUACGAGGCGCAGCAGGCGCGGAACCUCCGCAAUACACGAAAGUGUGACGGGGUUACCCAAAGUGUUCAAUAGAACUGUGGUAGGUGAGUAAUGUCCCCUACUAGAAAGGAGAGGGCAAGGCUGGUGCCAGCCGCCGCGGUAAAACCAGCUCUUCAAGUGGUCGGGAUAAUUAUUGGGCUUAAAGUGUCCGUAGCCGGUUUAGUAAGUUCCUGGUAAAAUCGGGUAGCUUAACUAUCUGCAUGCUAGGAAUACUGCUAUACUAGAGGGCGGGAGAGGUCUGAGGUACUACAGGGGUAGGGGUGAAAUCUUAUAAUCCUUGUAGGACCACCAGUGGCGAAGGCGUCAGACUGGAACGCGCCUGACGGUGAGGGACGAAAGCCAGGGGAGCGAACCGGAUUAGAUACCCGGGUAGUCCUGGCCGUAAACGAUGCAUACUACGUGAUGGUACGGCCAUGAGCCGUAUCAGUGCCGUACGGAAACCGUUAAGUGUGCCGCCUGGGAAGUACGGUCGCAAGGCUAAAACUUAAAGGAAUUGGCGGGGGAGCACCACAAAGGGUGAAGCCUGCGGUUCAAUUGGAUUCACGCCGGGAAUCACUAGUGCGGCCGC
rnacentral:rRNA from 1 species